AGUGAACGCUGGCGGUAGGCCUAACACAUGCAAGUCGAACGGCAGCACAGUAAGAGCUUGCUCUUACGGGUGGCGAGUGGCGGACGGGUGAGGAAUACAUCGGAAUCUACUUUUUCGUGGGGGAUAACGUAGGGAAACUUACGCUAAUACCGCAUACGACCUACGGGUGAAAGCAGGGGAUCUUCGGACCUUGCGCGAUUGAAUGAGCCGAUGUCGGAUUAGCUAGUUGGCGGGGUAAAGGCCCACCAAGGCGACGAUCCGUAGCUGGUCUGAGAGGAUGAUCAGCCACACUGGAACUGAGACACGGCCCAGACUCCUACGGGAGGCAGCAGUGGGAAUAUUGGACAAUGGGCGCAAGCCUGAUCCAGCCAUACCGCGUGGGUGAAGAAGGCCUUCGGGUUGUAAAGCCCUUUUGUUGGGAAAGAAAAGCAGCAGGUUAAUACCCCGCUGUUCUGACGGUACCCAAAGAAUAAGCACCGGCUAACUUCGU
rnacentral:rRNA from 1 species